rnacentral:lncRNA from 1 species
AAGGCAACACUCACUACGGACUCUCCUUCAGAAUGUGGUGAGGACAGACAGGGACAGGGAGGUUACAGAGCUGGCUGUGGGUGCUCGGUCACUGCUUGAGGACAGUGGUCUGAAGGGUUCUGUCUGGAGAGGUCCACGCCAGGUCUGUGCAGUCCGAGGGUUUCGGAAAGGAGGGACCUCCUAGCUUCCCAGCCAGACUCCUUGUGUGGCUUAGGCUGCCCUCUGCUGGAAGUUCUGGGAAAUGCAAGAACGCUGAAGCUGGGCCGGCUUCUGGUGAUUUGCUUAGGUGACUCAGGGGCCAGGGAGUCGGAUACUCCUGAGCUGGAGAACUGAGUUAAGUCCAGCCUCAGAGGACCAUGCGGAGGCCAGGCACCCAGGGCGGGGCAGGGCAGGACAGGACAGGAUAGGACGAGAGUUGCCUACCUACCACUGAAGUGGAGCCGGACUGCUACAGAAAAAUAAAAUAAUAAAAUAAAAUAAAAUGAAAUAUAAAAGUCUAC